UUGUGGAGGAGGACGCCGAAGGUGGGGCUGAUGACUGGGGUGAAGUCGUAACAAGGUAGCCGUACCGGGAGGUGCGGCUGGAUCACCUCCUAACAGGGAGACAAACAAAAGAACAUGAUGUCUGAGUUAUUUAUUCUUAGGCCGUGUUCCUGUCACCCUUAGGUCGAUCGGUACCUCAAAUUGAUAACCAAAAAAUUGAGAAUUUAAUUUUUCAAUAAGGUCAUUAAUAUCAGUUUCUAAACUUGUCUAGGUCACACCCACAUGGGUACUCCUGGGCCAUUAGCUCAGGUGGUUAGAGCGCACCCCUGAUAAGGGUGAGGUCCCUGGUUCAAGUCCAGGAUGGCCCAUUCGUUGUUGGGGGUAUAGCUCAGUUGGUAGAGCGCCUGCUUUGCAAGCAGGAUGUCAGCGGUUCGAGUCCGCUUACCUCCACUGAAAACUACCUUAAUAAUCCAAUUUUGGAGAAAUUUUUGUAAUUGUGAUUUAGAUUUGUCUAUAUGAAAAGAACCUAGCUUCUUAUCAUCUCUUUUAUAGUUGAUAUGAUGCUGGGCUCACCUGGAUUUUCCAUGUGAUUUCAGUAGAACCUUGACAACUGCAUAGAUAGAAAAGAAUAAAGCAUCUCAUGGAUGCAUAAUUCUUUGAUUAAAUCUUUUUUGAUUUGAUUCUAGAAUUCAUGUUUAAUUCUUGAGUAAAAGCCGAGCACAUUUAAUUAUGUGAUUGUAUUAAGGUCAAGCUACAA
rnacentral:misc_RNA from 1 species